rnacentral:rRNA from 1 species
UACAGAGGGUGCGAGCGUUGUCCGGAUUGACUGGGCGUAAAGCGCACGCAGGCGGUCGGGCGCGUGGGGUGUGAAAUCUGGCCGCUUAACGGCCAGGCGCCAUCCCAUACGGCUCGACUGGAGUGAUGCAGAGGUCGAUGGAAUUGCCGGUGUAGUGGUGAAAUGCGUAGAGAUCGGCAGGAACACCCAGGGGGAAACCAGUCGACUGGGCAUCUACUGACGCUGAGGUGCGAGAGCGUGGGGAGCGAACCGG